rnacentral:rRNA from 1 species
GACGAACGUUUGCGGCGUGCUUAACACAUGCAAGUCGAACGGAAAGGCCCUGCUUUUGUGGGGUGCUCGAGUGGCGAACGGGUGAGUAACACGUGAGUAACCUGCCCUUGACUUUGGGAUAACUUCAGGAAACUGGGGCUAAUACCGGAUAGGAGCUCCUGCUGCAUGGUGGGGGUUGGAAAGUUUCGGCGGUUGGGGCUGGACUCGCGGCUUAUCAGCUUGUUGGUGGGGUAGUGGCUUACCAAGGCUUUGACGGGUAGCCGGCCUGAGAGGGUGACCGGCCACAUUGGGACUGAGAUACGGCCCAGACUCCUACGGGAGGCAGCAGUGGGGAAUAUUGCACAAUGGGCGGAAGCCUGAUGCAGCAACGCCGCGUGCGGGAUGACGGCCUUCGGGUUGUAAACCGCUUUCGCCUGUGACGAAGCGUGAGUGACGGUAAUGGGUAAAGAAGCACCGGCUAACUACGUGCCAGCAGCCGCGGUGAUACGUAGGGUGCGAGCGUUGUCCGGAUUUAUUGGGCGUAAAGGGCUCGUAGGUGGUUGAUCGCGUCGGAAGUGUAAUCUUGGGGCUUAACCCUGAGCGUGCUUUCGAUACGGGUUGACUUGAGGAAGGUAGGGGAGAAUGGAAUUCCUGGUGGAGCGGUGGAAUGCGCAGAUAUCAGGAGGAACACCAGUGGCGAAGGCGGUUCUCUGGGCCUUUCCUGACGCUGAGGAGCGAAAGCGUGGGGAGCGAACAGGCUUAGAUACCCUGGUAGUCCACGCUGUAAACGGUGGGUACUAGGUGUGGGGUCCAUUCCACGGGUUCCGUGCCGUAGCUAACGCUUUAAGUACCCCGCCUGGGGAGUACGGCCGCAAGGCUAAAACUCAAAGGAAUUGACGGGGCCCCGCACAAGCGGCGGAGCAUGCGGAUUAAUUCGAUGCAACGCGUAGAACCUUACCUGGGUUUGACAUGGAUCGGGAGUGCUCAGAGAUGGGUGUGCCUCUUUUGGGGUCGGUUCACAGGUGGUGCAUGCCUGUCGUCAGCUCGUGUCGUGAGAUGUUGGGUUAAGUCCCGCAACGAGCGCAACCCUUGUUCACUGUUGCCAGCACGUUAUGGUGGGGACUCAGUGGAGACCGCCGGGGUCAACUCGGAGGAAGGUGGGGAUGACGUCAAGUCAUCAUGCCCCUUAUGUCCAGGGCUUCACGCAUGCUACAAUGGCUGGUACAGAGAGUGGCGAGCCUGUGAGGGUGAGCGAAUCUCGGAAAGCCGGUCUCAGUCCGGAUUGGGGUCUGCAACUCGACCUCAUGAAGUCGGAGUCGCUAGUAAUCGCAGAUCAGCAACGCUGCGGUGAAUACGUUCCCGGGGCU